UAAAGCAAGAAAGGGCGUAUGGGGAAUGCCUAGGCACACUCCGGCGAAGAAGGACGCAGCAAACAGCGAAAUGCGACGGUGAGCGGUAAGCACGUGAAGAGCCGUCGAUAUCCGAAUGGGGGAACCCACACGGAGUCAUAUCCGUGUAUCACAUGUCGAAUACAUAGACAUGAUGAGGCGAGACGCAGGGAACUGAAACAUCUAAGUACCUGCAGGAAGAGAAAAUAAGAAUGAUUUUCUGAGUAGCGGCGAGCGAAAGGGAAAGAGCCCAAACCGAUUUUAGGAUCGGGGUAGUAGGAUCAUCGAGGAAUCUGACAGAGGAUCAUAGAGGAAUCACAUGGGAAGGUGAGCGAGAGAGGGUGAGAGCCCCGUACUCGAAAUGAGAGACUGGAGAGAGAUGACACCUGAGUAGGGCGGGACACGAGAAAUCCUGUCUGAAUCAGCCGGGACCAUCCGGCAAGGCUAAAUACGAGAGAGUGACCGAUAGUGAACCAGUACCGUGAGGGAAAGGUGAAAAGAACCCCGGGAGGGGAGUGAAAGAGAACCUGAAACCAUAUGCCUACAAGAAGUCAGAGCCCGUUAAAGGGUGAUGGCGUGCCUUUUGUAGAAUGAACCGGCGAGUUACUGUAUGGAGCGAGGUUAAGCAGGAUAUGCGGAGCCGAAGCGAAAGCGAGUCUUAAGAGGGCGCGAGUUGCAUGCAGUAGACCCGAAACCGGGUGAUCUAGCCAUGACCAGGUUGAAGUUGGGGUAAAACCCGAUGGAGGACCGAACCGACCCCCGUUGAAACGUUGGCGGAUGAGUUGUGGCUAGGGGUGAAAUUCCAAUCGAACCCGGAGAUAGCUGGUUCUCCCCGAAAUAGCUUUAGGGCUAGCGUCGAGAGAAGAGUUGCGUGAAGGUAGAGCACUGAAUAUGUGAUGGCCCCAUCUCGGGGUACUGAGCAUAAUCAAACUGCGAAUGUCACGCCAACAUGCUCGGCAGUCAGACAGCGGGUGAUAAGGUCCGUUGUCAAGAGGGAAACAGCCCAGACCAUCAGCUAAGGUCCCAAAAUGUAUGCUAAGUGGAAAAGGAUGUGGAGAUGUACAGACAACUAGGAGGUUGGCUCAGAAGCAGCCAUCCUUUAAAGAGUGCGUAACAGCUCACUAGUCGAAUGACUCUGCGCCGAUAAUUUACCGGGGCUAAGCAUACUACCGAAGCUAUGGAUCCCAAGGGAUGGUAGGGGAGCGUUCCAUGAACGGAGAAGUACGACCGAAAGGACGUGUGGAGAUCAUGGAAGAGAGAAUGCCGGUGUGAGUAGCGGAACGUGGGUGAGAAUCCCACGCACCGAAAACCCAAGGUUUCCAGAGGAAGGUUCGUCCGCUCUGGGUAAGUCGGGACCUAAGGCGAGGCCGAAAGGCGUAGUCGAUGGACAACAGGUAGAGAUUCCUGUACCCGUAUAUAUGUGAAGGAAUGACGGAGAGAGGAAGCUGCAGCCAGCGGCUGGAAGAGCUGGUGCAAGCGAGAUAUCGGGAUGGCAGGCAAAUCCACCAUCCGAAACGAGAAGGCGUGAAGCGUACGGAAAGCUACGGCGAGUACGGAAGGCAGUGGAGGAACUUCCAAGAAAAGUUUCUAACGUUAAGUAUAUAUGGCCCGUACCGAAAAUGGACACACAUGGGUGAGGAGAGAAUCCUAAGGUGAGCGAGAGAACUAUAGCUAAGGAACUCUGCAAAAUGACUCCGUAACUUAGGGAGAAGGAGUGCUCAUAGAGAUAUGAGCCGCAGUGAAACGGCCCAAGCGACUGUUUACCAAAAACACAGCUCUCUGCUAAGCCGCAAGGCGAAGUAUAGGGGGUGACGCCUGCCCGGUGCUGGAAGGUUAAGGGGAGGGGUUAACGCAAGUGAAGCCCUGAACUGAAGCCCCAGUAAACGGCGGCCGUAACUAUAACGGUCCUAAGGUAGCGAAAUUCCUUGUCAGGUAAGUUCUGACCCGC
rnacentral:rRNA from 1 species